CAGUAGCCGCGGUAAUACAGAGGGUGCGAGCGUUAAUCGGAUUUACUGGGCGUAAAGCGUGCGUAGGCGGCUUUUUAAGUCGGAUGUGAAAUCCCUGAGCUUAACUUAGGAAUUGCAUUCGAUACUGGGAAGCUAGAGUAUGGGAGAGGAUGGUAGAAUUCCAGGUGUAGCGGUGAAAUGCGUAGAGAUCUGGAGGAAUACCGAUGGCGAAGGCAGCCAUCUGGCAUAAUACUGACGCUGAGGUACGAAAGCAUGGGGAGCAAACAGGAUUAGAUACCCCAGUAGUCCCUGUCUCUUAUAC
rnacentral:rRNA from 1 species